rnacentral:rRNA from 1 species
ACGAACGCUGGCGGCAUGCCUAACACAUGCAAGUCGAACGAGACCUUCGGGUCUAGUGGCGCACGGGUGCGUAACGCGUGGGAACCUGCCCUUAGGUUCGGAAUAACUCCCCGAAAGGGGUGCUAAUACCGGAUAAUGUCUUCGAACCAAAGAUUUAUCGCCUUUGGAUGGGCCCGCGUUGGAUUAGCUAGUUGGUAGGGUAAAAGCCUACCAAGGCGACGAUCCAUAGCUGGUCUGAGAGGAUGAUCAGCCACACUGGGACUGAGACACGGCCCAGACUCCUACGGGAAGCAGCAGUGGGGAAUAUUGGACAAUGGGCGAAAGCCUGAUCCAGCAAUGCCGCGUGAGUGAUGAAGGCCUUAGGGUUGUAAAGCUCUUUUACCCGGGAUGAUAAUGACAGUACCGGGAGAAUAAGCUCCGGCUAACUCCGUG